CAUCUGCAGCAACAUGGAUGCAACUAGAGACUCUCAUACUAAGUGAAAUGUUCUCAGUGUGGGAAGAGAGAAGAAAGAGAGAAAUACUCCAGGAAGGAGAUUCCAGAGCCGUUGAAUUUUCUCCCGUCUUACACCCUCCCUCAAAAGUGGGGCAGAGAGAUUUCCUUCAAAGAAGGUGCUGGGCUUAAAAAAGAAGAAAAAAACAUCAUGGCCACCGCAGAACUUCAAGCAUGGAUCCAGGUGCCCAUGUGCUAUCAUCCAGAUGCUUCUGAUGAGCCCUGGUCCCUCUCAUUGGCCUCAUCCUCGCACGGGCCCUCCCUUCCUAGUGGAAAUGACUUUUCGGUUAUGUGAGGCCCACUUGGAUAAUCAGCUGAUCGGGAGCCUGAAUUCAUCCCCCUUUACCAUCUAACCCGACAUAUUCCCAGGGCCUGGGAGUGAGGGCAUCCUCCUUAGGGAGCUGUCCUACCACAGGAGGGAGAGAUGCUGAAGAGACACCCCAAGGCCUGUGAUGGCUGGCAUGGACGCAAGGGUGGCGUGAGGUGCGGCUAGGAAAUGGAAGGACAGGGAGUCGCCGUUUAAGUGAGCACAGACUGCCCGUCAGAUGCGCUUCUUGGAGCCUCCCAUGCACGGCUGUGUGUUUGUGACAGUCCUGUUAAACAGAAACGCGGAUCCUCGCUUUCAAAGGACAAAACAGAGGGUCAGCAUGGUGGAGUGACUUGCGUGCGUUACACAGUUAGCCGGUGGCGGAAGUGGGAUUAGAAGUCAGGCCUGUCUGCCUCUAAAGGACAUUUAAAAUAACCUGAACUUUAUAUUCAUUGUAUGCAUGUGUGUAUAUUCAUAUAUAUUUCCUCCCUUUCAGAAAAUUAUUUUUCAAGUGUACAAGUAACGUGUAGAUAGAUUGUCCUUGCUUUUUUUGGUGGGUGGCUGUGUUUGCAGCAUACAAAAGUUCCUGGGCCAU